CAUAGAUUUUCAUUUGUUUUUGUUGCUUAUCGAAGGCGGCGAUCCAAGGCGGUCUGUUGGAUAGCUGGCCAGGUGCAGCCAACUUUUCUAAGCCUCAGUCAUUGCUGGUCUAGAUCCAUGAGCAUUUGCACCGCCCGAGCAUGGAGUUUUGUCUAGUGAAAAAGUCAUGUUUCUUACCAGAUUGACAGCAGAAUGGAAUUACAAGUUUAAAAACGUGGCCACUCGUCCCGCUCCUGUAUUCGUAAAAGAUACGUACAUGGGAGGAAUCUUGUGCUGAUGUACUUGUUUGCAUCUUCACUGUCUGUGGACAAAUAACGUACGGCUAUAUAACAGCAUACGCCUUGUAUGUCUGGUAAAAGAAAAGUCGUACGUCAACGUACAAUGUAUUGGUGACGAUGGAUGAUCGCGGGAUAGCAGUUUUAACUUGGAAUAGGACUGGGAUUGAUCUCAGAGGAGAAGAAGAAACAGGAUCUAUCAUCUUUUUUCGCGUGGGGGGUUUCUGAAAUCCAGAUCCCCCAAUGGGAUUACGACUGUAUCCCAUGAAAAAAAGUUA